AAAAACAUCUGGCAAUGCUGAUCUCCUGAAACAUGCAGCUUUUCUGAUUACCUACUUUUUCUUAAGAAAAGUACAACCUUGUGAAAUGUGAUCUAUGCAACUUGAGACGGCCAGCUCCACCCAGUUCGGAGAAUCAACAAAUCCACAUAUUGUUUUGAAGCAAGAAAACCGAUCAUUCCACUGGCAAACAGAAGAAACCUCCUCAACUUGUUAUAAAAAUUAAAUGUG